rnacentral:lncRNA from 1 species
AAGAUGAUCCUCUGAUCACAGAAGACAACAGAAGGAGACCAAAUUUCCAACUCAAAUGUUCGAUUCCAAAAUUCUGUUGGGAAUCUAAGACCAGAACCAGAGCCAAAUAUAAAGGAGAAAACACUUCUCAAUUUUGGAAGAAAAGGAACAUACAAGUUGGAAUGCUUGAGGUAUCAAAACAAGCAAAAACUCUUGUCAAAAGUAAGGGAUAAUGGGACAAGAGGCAAUUCUGUAAUGGUGG